UGUUGUCUUAUCAGUUCCAGAGCAUGCGAAUUUACAUCAUAUAUAAAGGAGAUUUGUUUUCUAUACGUAUCACACCCUCCUUGAUUGCAGACAGAUACCAGGUUGGGAAGCGAAACAAUCGACAAUAUUUGUUUUUAAACGGCAAUAUGGUGUGCGCUUCUACGUAAAUUACUUAAUUUCUGACAAACCUUUAUUGAAAUCGAAAUCAUAAACAAUUAGAUGUUGAAAUGGGUGUACAACACACAAGUGGAGUGGCAAAAUGUUGUCCCCGCAGUUGAGCUUGCAUUGUAUUUCUAGUGGUUAGCUGGCUAUCUACGCAAACUGUGUCCCGAAAAACGCGGCGGAUAGAAGAAUUCUAAGUGACAGAGAUAAGAUACUAUCGAUAGUAUUGUUUCCAAAUUAUCCGUUAACCUAUACACCCACGGGCAAUAGCAAGCUUUAAUAUAUCUAUUGACAUUCACUUUAUGGAGUCAUGUUAAACUCAUCAAUAAUACGUACUUGAAAAUGAUAACGAUAAAUUCAAUAAAAUUAUUCAAUAGUGCGUUAAUUUUCUUAGGUAAAUUGUUUGCUUAUCGCAGAUCAGAUAUGUUAUCGUGACAAAACGCAUUAUCCUUUUCUUAAUUCAUAUAUGUAUUAUUGUUAAUUAAGCGUCAGUUUUAAUCAGUUUUUUGAGUUUCAUAUCUUCCACUUCACUUAGAAUACUCAAGAAAAAUUGACACCAUUCACAGCAGAUAUCACUUCACAGGGACAGCAUGUUUAAGGAGUUCACCACCACUUUUCGCUUGCGGUCAUUAUUAACACCUUAUAUACUUGCUUA